UAGAAAGAUAGUUGAAAUAGAAAUUUUCUAUAUAGGCCAGUUAUUUACAUAAAAUAUCCAACAAUGUAUUAUUGCCCUAAUAAUUCUGUAAUAGAAAUUGGCACAUUUUCUAAAUGGAUAGGUUUGGCCUAUGUAUUGUCAAUAUAACAUAAGGUGUCUAGAAAUGGUCUCCUACAAUGACAUGAAGAUGACAUAACUCUUAGAAACCUGAAUUUUCAGUGAGACAGCACUCAAAAGGAUGUUUUGAUGUUUGACUUCUACCUUCAGAGUGUUUACAUUACUGACAGAACUAAAAGACUCCUUAAAUGUGAGAAUUGGAAAGAUGGUUAAAUAACCAUCUGUAACCUAUAAAAGGUACAACUUGCCUAAUUGUAUCACUUUUUAUAGUAGGAUGAAAAGGACAUUGAUCCUCAUCAAUGUCUCUUUGUCCUGUUGCCAGCUAGCAUGCUGAAGUUAAAAUUCAGGCCUUGAAACAGGUGCAUGCCAAUUAACCAGACCUAGGCAAGUUCUUAAUCUCAUGAUCAAUGAAGUGACUACUUAAAAUAUUCAUUGUUCCUAUACUACAUCUUCUGUGGCUAUGUUUUAAAACUUAUAACAUGUAAAUUUUCUUAAUAAUUUGACUUAAAUUACUUCCAAGAACCUUCAUAGUCAGGUAAGUGCUAAUGGAAGGAUUGAAACUAAGUUAAAUGUUCUAGAAGCCACUGUAAUGAGUAAUGCAAAUGACCCCUCUGCUCUAGGAUUUGCGGGAAGGCUUAAAUGCUAUGCCAAAUAAAAAUGUCUGUGUUACUAUGGCCAAACAGAAUGCUUCCAAAUAAAAUUGGGAAAAGAUUAAAAAUUUUCUGAUGAGUUUUUGGCAGAGUAAUCAUAAUAACCUGGAUCUUCCAAAGCUAAUUAAAUGACCUUAAUCCUAAAUAUGCUGAAACAUUCUAUAUAGUAUAUUAUUGAGAUGAUAUGUUUUCUACUAAUUUUAUUUAUAUCUCAAGAGUAGGUCAUGAUCUUCUCAGAACAAGAGUCUAGUGAUUACAACAUAAAUUCCCAGUUGCCUUUUUUUUUUAAUUUUAAGAAAAGGGAAAUAUGUCAGGAGCUGCCCUGGAUACAAGAUCCCUUUCAGUCCUGAUGCACCAGGUUAUGAACAUAUUGUCUUUAGUCUGGCACAGUAGUACCAGGUCACAGUAAUUUGGGUAUUACCCUAGCUCGGAAAACAAGGUGUGGCUCCAGAAUUAGGUGUUAUCCAUUGAGGUUUAGUUGCACUCAUCUGUUCCUUUAUAAUCUUACUCCUUUGCCAUUUGGGGGAUAGAAUGUUUUGUGGAAUCUUCCCUUGUAUGUCUCCUAUA
rnacentral:lncRNA from 1 species